GACGAACGCUGGCGGCGUGCUUAACACAUGCAAGUCGAACGAGGCCCCUCCUUCGGGAGGGUGUCCUAGUGGCGAACGGGUGAGUAACACGUGGGCAACCUCCCCCCGGCUCUGGGAUAACCCCAAGAAAUUGGGGCUAAUACCGGAUAUGACCGCUGACCACAUAGUCUGGUGGUGGAAAGAUUUUUUCGGCUGGGGAUGGGCCCGCGGCCUAUCAGCUUGUUGGUGGGGUAGUGGCCUACCAAGGCGACGACGGGUAGCCGGCCUGAGAGGGUGACCGGCCACACUGGGACUGAGACACGGCCCAGACUCCUACGGGAGGCAGCAGUGGGGAAUAUUGCGCAAUGGGCGGAAGCCUGACGCAACGACGCCGCGUGGGGGAUGACGGCCUUCGGGUUGUAAACCUCUUUCAGCAGGGACGGAGCGAAAGUGACGGUACCUGCAGAAGAAGCACCGGCCAACUACGUGCCAGCCGCCGCAGUAA
rnacentral:rRNA from 1 species